rnacentral:rRNA from 1 species
CCUACGGGUGGCAGCAGUGAGGAAUAUUGGUCAAUGGGCUUACGCCUGAACCAGCCAAGUCGCGUGAGGGAAGACUGUCCUAUGGGUUGUAAACCUCUUUUGUCAGGGAGCAAUUGCCGCGACGCGUCGCGUUAUCGAGAGUACCUGAAGAAAAAGCAUCGGCUACCUCCGUGCGAGCAGCCGCGGGAAUACGGAGGAUGCGAGCGUUACCCGUAUUUAUUGGGUUUAAAGGGUGCGUAGGCGGAAUGCCAAGUCAGCGUUAAAAUCCCGGGGCUCAACCCCGCUCCGCCGUUUAAACUGGCAGUCUCGAGUGGGCGAGAAGUAUGCGGAAUG